CUUCUAUCAUUGGUGCUUUUCCCAC
rnacentral:piRNA from 1 species